CACUGACAUUAGAUACCCCGGUAGUCCCAGCCGUAAACUAUGCGCGUUAGGUGUAUCGGUGACCACGAGUUACCGAGGUGCCGAAGGGAAACCGUGAAACGUGCCGCCUGGGAAGUACGGUCGCAAGGCUGAAACUUAAAGGAAUUGGCGGGGAGCACCACAACAGGUGGAGCCUGCGGUUUAAUUGGACUCAACGCCGGGAAGCUCACCGGAUAGGACAGCAGAAUGAUUGCCGGGCUGAAGACCCUGCAUGACUAGCUG
rnacentral:rRNA from 1 species